AAACCACUGACACACAAGCUGUAGACUGGACAGACACAACCAGCUUUAACAAUGAUCAGACCUGAUAAUUUGGUUGUUUUUCUCAUCUUGUCUAUUAACUGGGCAGGUACUGAGGGUCAAACACUGACUGAGUCUGAAUCAGUGGUUAAAAGGCCUGGAGAAUCUCACAGAUUGACCUGUACAGCCUCUGGAUUCACAUUCAGCAGCUACUGGAUGCACUGGAUCAGACAGGCUCCUGGAAAAGGACUGGAGUGGGUUGCUUACAUCAGUAGUGGUGGUGGCUACACCUACUACUCUGAGUCAGUGAAAGGCCGGUUUACCAUCUCCAGAGACAACAGCAGACAGCAGGUGUAUCUGCAGAUGAACAGUCUGAAGAAUGAAGACUCUGCUGUUUAUUAUUGUGCUAGACAGCCACAGUGACUGGAGUUGGUUGAGCAGCUGUACAAAAACCUGCAGUCCUCAUAUUUACUGAGCUGACAGACUAAAUAAUGAUGUAUAUGUUAAUGUUUUCUUUUUCUUUUUGCCUUUGG